UACAGAGGGGGCAAGCGUUGUUCGGAAUUACUGGGCGUAAAGGGCGCGUAGGCGGCCUGUUAAGUCGAACGUGAAAUCCCCGGGCUCAACCCGGGAACUGCGUCCGAUACUGGCAGGCUUGAAUCCGGGAGAGGGAUGUGGAAUUCCAGGUGUAGCGGUGAAAUGCGUAGAUAUCUGGAGGAACACCGGUGGCGAAGGCGGCAUCCUGGACCAUUACUGACGCUUAAGCGCGAAAGCUAGGGGAGCAAACGGG
rnacentral:rRNA from 1 species